rnacentral:rRNA from 1 species
GUACGGAGGGAGCAAGCGUUAUUCGGAAUCACUGGGCGUAAAGGACGCGUAGGCGGGUUUGUAAGUCAGGUGUGAAAUCCUACAGCUCAACUGUAGAACUGCACUUGAAACUACAGACCUAGAGUAUGGAAGGGGCAGAUGGAAUUAGUGGUGUAGGGGUAAAAUCCGUAGAUAUCACUAGGAAUACCGAAAGCGAAGGCGAUCUGCUGGGACAUUACUGACGCUGAGGCGUGAAAGCGUGGGGAGCAAACAGGAUUAGAUACCCUAGUAGUCC